AGUAUUUGUCUCCAGUCUGGGGUGGGGGUUAUGCUCCUCCAGCUAUGGAUGGUCCCAAGACAAGAGCUCUAAAAAUUUAGUUUGCCAUUGGCAAGAAGGGGUUUUGCAGAAUUCGCACAUCUGGUUAUGCCAUGGAUGUUCAGAAAGGUCCAGAAAAGAUCUGGAAGGUUCUUGAAGACAAGAUCAAGGCAAAUGUGAAGUGGACAUUCCAGGGGUGAUGCAGCUGGUCAAACUGUUCAGCUUUUAGCAAAACACUACAGU